CCUACGGGGGGCAGCAGUGGGGAAUAUUGGACAAUGGGCGAAAGCCUGAUCCAGCCAUGCCGCGUGUGUGAAGAAGGCCUUCGGGUUGUAAAGCACUUUCAGUGGGGAAGAAAGCCUUGGGGCUAAUACCCUCGAGGAAGGACAUCACCCACAGAAGAAGCACCGGCUAACUCCGUGCCAGCAGCCGCGGUAAUACGGAGGGUGCGAGCGUUAAUCGGAAUUACUGGGCGUAAAGCGCGCGUAGGCGGUCUGAUAAGCCGGUUGUGAAAGCCCCGGGCUCAACCUGGGAACGGCAUCCGGAACUGUCAGGCUAGAGUGCAGGAGAGGAAGGUAGAAUUCCCGGUGUAGCGGGGAAAUGCGUAGAGAUCGGGAGGAAUACCAGUGGCGAAGGCGGCCUUCUGGACUGACACUGACGCUGAGGUGCGAAAGCGUGGGUAGCAAACAGGAUUAGAUACCCCAGUAGUC
rnacentral:rRNA from 1 species